rnacentral:rRNA from 1 species
GAGUUUGAUCGUGGCUCAGAUUGAACGCUGGCGGCAUGCCUUACACAUGCAAGUCGAACGGCAGCAUGAUCUAGCUUGCUAGAUUGAUGGCGAGUGGCGAACGGGUGAGUAAUACAUCGGAACGUGCCCUGUAGUGGGGAGUAACUAGUCGAAAGAAUUAGCUAAUACCGCCAUACGACCUGAGGGUGGAAGUAGGGGGACCGGCAAGGCCUCAUGCUAUAGGAGCGGCCGAUGUCUGAUUAGCUAGUUGGUGGGGUAAGGCCCACCAAGGCGACGAUCAGUAGCUGGUCUGAGAGGACGAUCAGCCACACUGGGACUGAGACACGGCCCACGACUCCUACGGGAGGCAGCAGUGGGGAAUUUUGGACAAUGGGCGAAAGCCUGAUCCAGCAAUGCCGCGUGUGUG